AUUUGGUCAUGCCCUUGAAGACUCACCUUCAAAAUCUUCCCUUGUCCAUUCACUGUCUGUCUGCAUCUCUCUGCUGGAUCCAAAAAGAUCAAUUCCAUCAUCCAUGAUGUAUUCUUUCCGGAACCAGCAGAUUUAUGAGUCUCCCGUGCAUGUCAAUCCAGACACUAUCGAUGCAAUGCUUCCUAAACUUAGUGGUUUGCUUGAGCUGUUGAAUGUGUCCUCUGAUGAGAAGGUUCUGCCAACAACAUAUGGAGAACUCAGGCCGCCUCUAGGAAAGCAUCGUUUAAAGGUAGUGGAAUUCAUUUCUGUGCUACUGAAGACUGGUAAUGAAGUUGCAGAGAGAGAAUUGAUCAGCUCUGGGACAAUUGAGAGGGUCCUGAAUCUAUUUUUUGAGUA
rnacentral:misc_RNA from 1 species